rnacentral:misc_RNA from 1 species
GUUGAGGUCAGUGAAGAAGAUGGGGGUCACAAAGGAGCAACUCGAAUCUACUUUAACCUCUAAGUUGAAUCCUCAGCAUCUGGAGGUAACUGAUACAUCUGGAGGAUGCGGGGCGAGUUUCGUAGUUGACAUUGUCUCAGAACAAUUUGAAGGGAAAAGGUUGCUUGAGCGACAUCGAUUGGUGAAUGCCGCUCUGGAGGAGGAAAUGAAACAGAUUCAUGCUCUCUCCAUCAAGAAGGCUCUGACCCCUCAACAAUGGAAGCAACAACAAGAAGAAUCUGAAAAAUCAAAAUCUGCAGCUUAGAGCAUGAUUUAUAAGUAAAGUAAGAACCAUUGAUGGCAGU